rnacentral:rRNA from 1 species
UACGGAGGGUGCAAGCGUUAUCCGGAUUCACUGGGGUUAAAGGGUGCGUAGGGGGUUUUGUAAGUCAGUGGUGAAAGCCCGGAGCUCAACUCCGGAACUGCCAUUGAUACCGCUUAACUUGAAUCAAGUAGAGGUGGAUGGAAUAUUACAUGUAGCGGUGAAAUGCUUAGAGAUGUAAUAGAACACCGAUUGCGAAGGCAGUUCACUAUGCUUGUAUUUACACUGAGGCACGAAAGCGUGGGGAUCAAACAGG